UACGUAGGCAGCGAGCGUUGUUCGGAAUUACUGGGCGUAAAGAGUGUGUAGGCGGUGCUCUAAGUUCGGUGUGAAGUCUCCUGCUCAACUGGGAGGGUGCGCCGGAAACUGGAGUGCUUGAGCGUGGGAGAGGAAAGCGGAAUUCCUGGUGUAGCGGUGAAGUGCGUAGAUAUCAGGAGGAACACCUGUGGUGUAGACGGCUUUCUGGACCAUAGCUGACGCUGAGACACGAAAGCGUGGGUAGCAAACAGG
rnacentral:rRNA from 1 species